CUCUGUUGGUUUUUCUCUUCUUCUUCUCUCUCGAGCUCCUGAAGAAUUCUGAGGCUUCUCGUUGCUCCCGAUCAUGAUUAGGGUUUGAGAUUCAAUCCAUUCUGAUUUCCGAUCGAUUUUGCCCUAGUUCAAUUCAAGUCUCUCUGGUCCCUGAGAGCUCUGAACUUGAUCAAGGAUGAAUUUGUGAAUCCGUGAAACAAAUCAGGGAUCCCGUUGAAGGACGAUAAGCGCCAACCCUCAGGGGCGUACACGGGCGGGGAAAUUGCCACAACGUUCUCACUCUCUUGAAACUGGGGAGCGCGGUCAGGGGGAAUCGGUCUUCUUAAAUUAUUUGUCCACAAAUAAUUUAAACAUUAAUUUUUAAAUUAAAUUUUAUUAAUUAAUUUAAAUAUGUUGUUUUCUAUCACAGUUAUUUUAAAUGCACAAUUUUAGUGGAUAGGGAGAAAUAAGAAAAAUAAAACUAACUGUUCAUGAAAAAUUUAAUUUUAAUUGUUAUUAUUAUUAUUAUUUUUAAAAUGGUUAACGUGGACACUUAUAGUAGAUAAAGGGAAUAGCUUGUAAUAUAAAAAAAAGGUAGAAUUGCCAAA